UGUAAGCGUAUACCAAAGUUGUUGCAGUUAAAACGCUCGUAGUCGGAAUUUGGCAGUUCCGGAUGUGUGCACGUCGUGUGCGCACUUCGCGGGGAUUGCUUUUGUGGUCUUGCGUAGGAUGAGGCACUUUUAUUAGUGAACGUCCUCACGCAACCACUUUUUACUGUGAGAAAAUCAGAGUGCUCAAAGCAGGCAUUUGCCGUGAAUGUAUUAGUAUGGAAUAAUAGAAUAGGACUUGGUUCUAUUUUGUUGGUUUGUUGGGACUGAGUAAUGAUUAAGAGGGACAGUUGGGGGCAUUUGUAUUUCGGUGCUAGAGGUGAAAUUCUUAGAUUACCGAAAGACAAACUGCUGCGAAAGCGUCUGCCAAGGAUGUUUUCAUUGA
rnacentral:rRNA from 1 species